CUCUAGGGAGACUGCCGGUGACAACCCGGAGGAAGGUUGGGACGACGUCAAGUCAUCAUGGCCCUUAUGGGCAGGGCUACACACGUGCUACAAUGGCCGGUACAGAGGGUCGCCAACCCGCGAGGGGGAGCUAAUCCCAGAAAGCCGGUCGUAGUCCGGAUUGGAGUCUGCAACUCGACUCCAUGAAGUCGGAAUCGCUAGUAAUCGCGAAUCAGCAUGUCGCGGUGAAUACGUUCCCGGGCCUUGUACACACCGCCCGUCACACCAUGGGAGUGGGCUGCACCAGAAGCCGGUAGCUUAACCCGCAAGGGAGGGCGCCGUCCACGGUGUGGUUCAUGACUGGGGUGAAGUCGUAACAAGGUAGCCGUAGGGGAACCUGCGGCUGGAUCACCUCCUUUAAA
rnacentral:rRNA from 1 species